rnacentral:lncRNA from 1 species
CUUGAGAGGGCCCUCCCAUGUUGGUCCUUCUUGCUCCCUAGUGCAAGACUUCCUUUGCCCACAACGACACUGCCUCCCAUGUACAGAACAGUGCUAUCGCUAUGACUCAUUUCUGCAUCUUGAUUGCUGAGAUCACUGAUCAGGUUUGUGACAAAACAGCAUCAAAUCUGAAGAGUUGUGUCCUCCCCGCACCACCCCCCUCGCCCCCACCAUUAUUUGCUCACCUUGAAGGUAAUCCAGGAUAGGAGUCCCUCUGAAGCAAACAGAACAUCCAUCAAAGACCCGAAAGAACAUAAGGUAAUUGGCCGGGUGCGGUGGGUCAUGCCUGUAAUCCCAGCACUUUGGGAGGCCGAGGCGGGUGGAUCACAAGGUCAGGAGUUCGAGACCAGCUUGGCUAACAUGGUGAAACCCCGUCUCUACUAAAAAUACAAAAAUUAACUGGGCAUGGAGGCGUGCGCCUGUGAUCCCAGCUACUCAGGAGGCUGAGGCAGGAGAGUCGCUGGAACCCAGGAGGUGGAGGUUGCAGUGAGCCGAGAUUGCGCCAUUGCACUCCAGCCUGGGUGACAGGGCAAGACUCCAUCUCAAAAAAAAAAGGAAAGAAGAAAAGGAAUAUAAAGUAAUUUAUUCCAGCUUGUUUUCUGUUUAUUUCAUUGUUCCAAGCAUGAUUCCCUCCAUUCCAUCUGCAAGUUGAAUUCCAGAUCAUCUUCCCAAUCAUCCUCCCUGAAGGGCAUUUCUGAGAAUGUCAUUCAAACUACUUCCAUGGUUUUUCUGUGGGCCUUUGCUUAUUGCUGUUUCCUUGCCCUUGAAUGGCCUUCCCCGGGGUUUUUGUGUUACUACCCAUUCCUCUAGGCUCAGUUCUAAUUCCACCUCCUCCACCAUAAAGCCUUCUUGGAGGAAAUUAAGUGUAAAAGCCCAUGCUCUAGAACUGGGAUUACCUGGAGAUUGUCAUUAUUAUUAUAAUUAUUAUAUACAUGUUCAUGGUGAUGAUGGUGGUGGAGGUGAAUUCCAAGUUAUUCACUUGCUAGCUAUACAACUUAGAGGUAUUUGCUUAAUCAUUGUCUCAGUUGCCAUAUCUGUAAAGUGGGAAUAAUAUUUAUGUCUAUUUCAUAGAACUUUUGAGAAUACUUACUGAGUUAAAAGAUGUGAAGUAGUUAGAUUAGUUAAGUGUUCAAUAUCAUCUUCUCUAUAAAAUCAAGUUGAUUUGGACUUCUAUAAUAAUUCUUACAGCCUUCAUGCAUUUCUUAAAUAAAUACUUGUCAAGGUUAUAUGUGCUAGGCACUCUGUGAGGAAGAUAAUCACAGUGUAGGAUGCCGUGUUUAUAGUAUUGUAUGUUUGACUCCUGUCCUUGUUCUCAGGCCGCAAAUCCUAUCUAUGAAGAUAGGCACUUCCAUUCAUUCUGAAGUCCUCACAUAGUAGUUAUUCAGUGAAUGUACCCUGGGAUCCACUUUUCACCUUUCCCCUUACCUGCUUUGUGCUUCAAGAAACUGACUUCAACAGACAGCAUCAUCUGGGCUUCUUUACCCUGUAGUGUUCAGCUGAGUUCAGCCAAUGGAAGACACUAGUAGAAGACUGGAAGGAUAGAGGAGAGAAAGAUUGGAAUAUUUAUUCCCAUCUCAUACUACAGUUUUUGUAGUGAUGGUUCUUCCUAUUGGACAGCUUCCACCUAUAACUACAGUUCUCUCCUGGUUCCAGAAACUGCUUUCUCCACUUCUGACCUAGGAGUAGCCACAGCUCCCAGCUGUUGUUAGACCCCAGGUGUAUUUUGUCAUCUCUUGUUACUUCCCUUAACCCUGCCACAGCUCUGAAAAUAGUCCAGUAAUUAAAUACUUUUUGAGCUAUUUCUUUGAGUAUACCACCUGUUUGUUUCGUGCCUGGACCCUGAGUGAUACAGUAUAAUAAAUAAUGUUCAAUACAAUAUACAAUGUAAAAUACAAUAGAUAAUACAAUUCCUAAAAACAAAAAGGAAGAAAGGAAAUAAAGAAUAAAAAAAGAAACAAAGAAGGAAAACCGGAUUUCUACCACCAAAAUGAAAUUAUUAUUACAAUUAUAGUGUAUUUACUUUUAGCUUUUUAAAUGCAAUUUUUAUGUAGUCAUUACUGUGGUAUAUAUGUAUUUAUGCUUAUUAAGUAGUUAUUUUUAACAUUGCCU